AUGAUGCAAUCAGGGCCAGAACAUUGGUGUGGAGCUUGGUUCUAAGAAGGUUCAUGUUGUGACUCUAUGGAUAAUAACAUCUGUGAGAGUUUUAACAACUAGAUAGUAGAGUAUAGAGGGUUGCCUAUUAUCAGCAUGUUUGAAGCAAUUAGAUCAAAGGUCACUGUAAGAAUUCAAGUAAACAUAGCAAUGCUACAAAAUGGAAUGGAAUUAUUUGUCCUAAAAUUAUGA
rnacentral:rRNA from 1 species